GCAUGUGGUUUAAUUCGACGCAACGCGAAGAACCUUACCUGGGUUUGACAUCCUCUGACCGUCUGGGAAACCAGAUUUUUCCGGCUUUGUCGGAACAGAGUGACAGGUGCUGCAUGGCUGUCGUCAGCUCGUGUCGUGAGAUGUUGGGUUAAGUCCCGCAACGAGCGUAACCCUUGUCUUUAGUUGCCAUUAUUAAGUUAGGCACUCUAAAGAGACUGCCUCGGUUAACGGGGAGGAAGGUGGGGAUGACGUCAAGUCCUCAUGGCCUUUAUAUCCAGGGCUACACACGUGCUACAAUGGGCUGUACAAAGGGUUGCUAUCCCGCGAGGGGGCGCUAAUCCCAAAAAGCAGUUCUCAGUUCGGAUUGAAGUCUGCAACUCGACUUCANGAAGGUGGAAUCGCUAGUAAUCGUGGAUCAGCAUGCCACGGUGAAUACGUUCCCGGGCCUUGUACACACCGCCCGUCACACCACGAAAGUCGACUGUCCAGAAGUUGCUGGGC
rnacentral:rRNA from 1 species